rnacentral:tRNA from 1 species
UCUACAAUAGCUUAGUGGUAAAGUAUUUGACUGUUAACCAAAAUAACACCAGUUCGAACCUGGUUUGUAGAG